rnacentral:ncRNA from 1 species
CCAGAGGCGUUUCCGGCCUCGCGGACGAGGGAGCAGUACCCGCACAGCGAAAAGACUGACUCGGA